CAGGCCUAACACAUGCAAGUCGAACGAUGGCUUCGGCCAUAGUGGCGCACGGGUGCGUAACGCGUGGGAAUCUACCCUUGGGUACGGAAUAACUCUGAGAAAUUAGAGCUAAUACCGUAUGAUGACGCAAGUCCAAAGAUUUAUCGCCCAGGGAUGAGCCCGCGUAGGAUUAGCUAGUUGGUGGGGUAAAGGCCCACCAAGGCGACGAUCCUUAGCUGGUCUGAGAGGAUGAUCAGCCACACUGGGACUGAGACACGGCCCAGACUCCUACGGGAGGCAGCAGUGGGGAAUAUUGGACAAUGGGCGAAAGCCUGAUCCAGCAAUGCCGCGUGAGUGAUGAAGGCCCUAGGGUUGUAAAGCUCUUUUACCCGGGAAGAUAAUGACUGUACCGGGAGAAUAAGCCCCGGCUAACUCCGUGCCAGCAGCCGCGGUAAU
rnacentral:rRNA from 1 species